CUGCCGCCCGCCCAGACGCCAGCAAGCCCCCCUCCCACGACAGGGCUGCUCCGGGAGCUUCGGAGACCCGCCCCGGGCCUGAGCGCAGGCUGCCUCCGGGACCCCACGGCUGUCCGGACGUGCCAUGGGCGCGCAGCUGCCGGGCAACGUGUUGUGUAAGUGAACAUCUGGGAGGUAAACACUACACGUGAAGAGUGGUGAAAGGGAACAUUGAUUACUGAAGUGCCCUGGAGAGGGAAAGCACUGGUCAACAUCACAUGGACAAAUUUCAUUGUUUUCUAAAGAUGGCCUGGAAGUAGUCUUUGCCACUGCUUCCUCCACAAACAGCUCUUCAUAACAUGGGCUGCAUGAAAUCAAAGCAAACUUUCCCAUUUCCUACCAUAUAUGAAGGUGAGAAGCAGCAUGAGAGUGAAGAACCCUUUAUGCCAGAAGAGAGAUGUCUACCUAGGAUGGCUUCUCCAGUUAAUGUCAAAGAGGAAGUGAAGGAACCUCCAGGGACCAAUACUGUGAUCUUGGAAUAUGCACACCGCCUGUCUCAGGAUAUCUUGUGUGAUGCCUUGCAGCAAUGGGCAUGCAAUAACAUCAAGUACCAUGACAUUCCAUACAUUGAGAGUGAGGGGCCUUGAGGCUGUAGGAUGACAACACUUUGACUGUGGAGGUGCUAGUUUGAAUAAAUGUGACAAAAGCAAAAA
rnacentral:lncRNA from 1 species